rnacentral:lncRNA from 1 species
UAUCUUUUAAAUUUAGAUAAGUAUUCUAUGUUAUUGUCAGACGGUUGGCAGGUAUGAUAAAGUGAUCUAAAUAUGCCAAAUCAAUAGUGUAUUAUUGUAUACUUAUGUUUGUUAUUGUUUGAUAUUAGAAUGCCAUAUUUAUUGUUUGUAUGAAUUGUUAUUUAUUAUGUAUGUAUUGUUUUGUUUUCUUUGUAAGAUCUUUAAUCCUCAUUUUAUUUGAAAGGAGAUAUUGUCUGAUUAUAGGGCUUUACUGUAAAUGUUAAUGGAUAUUUUUUUUUUACAUUUUAUGCUUAAGUUUUAAAAUUGAAUUUAGAGAAACUCAAAUGGAAAAGUAUUGUUCUACUGAAAUACGGUUGAUAUCUAAAAUGACGAUAACAGUCCUUUU